CACUUGGUGAAUCCUGGUAGCCCCAACGUGGGACACGUCAAGUUUUUGAGGGGAGUUCCGAUUCAUUUUGUUUGUAGGAGGUCAGCCUAUUCUAUAUCACGGUCACAGGUACCAGCCCAAUAAGGCGAUCUCACUUUGAGACACUGUAGUCAGUGGAUUCUUCCUAUCUUCAGUUGACAACAACGCGGAGCACUGCCAUUCAGGCCUGUGUUCGAAAAUGGCCACCUCAACUUGUCGUCGUUUUCACCUGUCAAUCAAAUGAAUCUCCGCCCCCUCUGGACCUGGAAGAAUCCAUUGGCACGAAGGGG